rnacentral:rRNA from 1 species
UACAGAGGGGGCAAGCGUUAUUCGGAAUUAUUGGGUUUAAAGGGUGCGUAGGCGUCCUGGAAAGUUACGGUUGAAAUCUCCUUGCUCAACAAGGAAACUGGCCGUAAAACUAUCAGGAUUGAGUACAUUUGAAGCGGGCGGAAUGUGUCAUGUAGCGGUGAAAUGCUUAGAUAUGACACAGAACACCAAUUGCGAAGGCAGCUCGCUAAACUGUAACUGACGCUGAGGCACGAAAGCGUGGGGAUCAAACAGG